GCGAAGGUGGCGAAAUUGGUAGACGCACUAGGUUUAGGUCCUAGCGCCGCAAGGUGUGGGGGUUCGAGUCCCCCCCUUCGCA
rnacentral:tRNA from 1 species